rnacentral:rRNA from 1 species
AUUGAACGCUGGCGGCAUGCUUUACACAUGCAAGUCGAACGGUAACAGGCCGCAAGGUGCUGACGAGUGGCGAACGGGUGCGUAAUGCAUCGGAACGUGCCCAGUCGUGGGGGAUAACGCAGCGAAAGCUGCGCUAAUACCGCAUACGAUCUCUGGAUGAAAGCGGGGGACCGAAAGGCCUCGCGCGAUUUGAGCGGCCGAUGUCAGAUUAGGUAGUUGGUGGGGUAAAGGCCCACCAAGCCAACGAUCUGUAGCUGGUCUGAGAGGACGACCAGCCACACUGGGACUGAGACACGGCCCAGACUCCUACGGGAGGCAGCAGUGGGGAAUUUUGGACAAUGGGCGCAAGCCUGAUCCAGCAAUGCCGCGUGCAGGAAGAAGGCCUUCGGGUUGUAAACUGCUUUUGUACGGAACGAAACGGUCCUGGUUAAUACCUGGGGCUAAUGACGGUACCGUAAGAAUAAGCACCGGCUAACUACGUGCCAGCAGCCGCAGUAAAAC